GACGAACGCUGGCGGCGUGCCUAAUACAUGCAAGUCGAACGCAGUGGGGACGGGUGAGUAACACGUGGGUAACCUCCCAUCAGAGGGGAUAACACUUGGAUACAGGUGCUAAACCGAUACUGUUGUAUGUACCAGCGGUUCAUUAGCUAGUUGGUGAGGUAACGGCUCACCAAGGCCAGGAUGCAUAGCGGCCCUGAUAGGGUGACCGGCCACACUGGGACUGUGACACGGCCCAGACUCCUACGGGAGGCAGCAGUAGGGAAUCUUCGGCAAUGGACGAAAGUCUGACCUAGCAACGCCGCGUGAGUGAAGAAGGCUUUCGGAUCGUAAAACUCUGUUGUUAGAGAAGCGUUAUCUAACGAGAAAGCCACGGCUAACUACGUGCCAGCAGCCGCGGUAAUAC
rnacentral:rRNA from 1 species